rnacentral:rRNA from 1 species
CCAGACUCCUACGGGAGGCAGCAGUGAGGAAUAUUGGACAAUGGUCGGAAGACUGAUCCAGCCAUGCCGCGUGCAGGAUGAAGGUCCUAUGGAUUGUAAACUGCUUUUGUAAGGGAAGAAUAAGGGGUACGUGUACUUUGAUGACGGUACCUUACGAAUAAGCAUCGGCUAACUCCGUGCCAGCAGCCGCGGUAAUACGGAGGAUGCGAGCGUUAUCCGGAAUCAUUGGGUUUAAAGGGUCCGUAGGCGGGCUGAUAAGUCAGAGGUGAAAUCGUUCAGCUCAACUGAGCAACUGCCUUUGAAACUGUCAGUCUUGAAUGAUUGUGAAGUAGUUGGAAUGUGUAGUGUAGCGGUGAAAUGCUUAGAUAUUACACAGAACACCGAUAGCGAAGGCAUAUUACUAACAAUUUAUUGACGCUGAUGGACGAAAGCGUGGGGAGCGAACAGGAUUAGAUACCCUGGUAGUCCACGCUGUAAACGAUGGAUACUAGCUGUUUGGAGUAAUCUGAGUGGCUAAGCGAAAGUGAUAAGUAUCCCACCUGGGGAGUACGCACGCAAGUGUGAAACUCAAAGGAAUUGACGGGGGCCCGCACAAG